AUUGAACGCUGGCGGCAUGCCUUACACAUGCAAGUCGAACGGUAACAGGUUAAGCUGACGAGUGGCGAACGGGUGAGUAAUAUAUCGGAACGUGCCCAGUCGUGGGGGAUAACGUAGCGAAAGCUACGCUAAUACCGCAUACGAUCUACGGAUGAAAACGGGGGAUCGCAAGACCUCGCGCAAUUGGAGCGGCCGAUAUCAGAUUAGGUUGUUGGUGAGGUAAAAGCUCACCAAGCCUGCGAUCUGUAGCUGGUCUGAGAGGACGACCAGCCACACUGGAACUGAGACACGGUCCAGACUCCUACGGGAGGCAGCAGUGGGGAAUUUUGGACAAUGGACGCAAGUCUGAUCCAGCAAUGCCGCGUGCAGGACGAAGGCCUUCGGGUUGUAAACUGCUUUUGUACGGAACGAAACGGUGAGCUCUAAUAUAGUUUGCUAAUGACGGUACCGUAAGAAUAAGCACCGGCUAACUACGUGCCAGCAGCCGCCGUAA
rnacentral:rRNA from 1 species